UGGGGAAUUUUGGACAAUGGGGGAAACCCUGAUCCAGCCAUCCCGCGUGUGCGAUGAAGGCCUUCGGGUUGUAAAGCACUUUUGGCAGGAAAGAAACGUCAUGGGUUAAUACCCCGUGAAACUGACGGUACCUGCAGAAUAAGCACCGGCUAACUACGUGCCAGCAGCCGCGGUAAUACGUAGGGUGCAAGCGUUAAUCGGAAUUACUGGGCGUAAAGCGUGCGCAGGCGGUUCGGAAAGAAAGAUGUGAAAUCCCAGAGCUCAACUUUGGAACUGCAUUUUUAACUACCGGGCUAGAGUGUGUCAGAGGGAGGUGGAAUUCCGCGUGAAGCAGUGAAAUGCGUAGAUAUGCGGAGGAACACCGAUAGGGAAGGCAGCCUCCUGGGAUAACACUGACGCUCAUGCACGAAAGCGUGGGGAGCAAAGAGG
rnacentral:rRNA from 1 species